GUCCAAGUUGCUUCGGCGGCGCGGCACCCCUUAACGGGGGCGCCGCAGCCCUGCCUCUCCGGAGGUUCGGGGCGCCCGCCGGAGGUACGAAACUCUGUAUUAUAGUGGCAUCUCUGAGUAUAAAACAAAUAAGUUAAAACUUUCAACAACGGAUCUCUUGGUUCUGGCAUCGAUGAAGAACGCAGCGAAAUGCGAUAAGUAAUGUGAAUUGCAGAAUUCAGUGAAUCAUCGAAUCUUUGAACGCACAUUGCGCCCGGUAGUACUCUACCGGGCAUGCCUGUUCGAGCGUCAUUUCAACCCUCAAGCCCUGCUUGGUGUUGGGGCCCUACGGCUGCCGUAGGCCCUGAAAGGAAGUGGCGGGCUCGCUACAACUCCGAGCGUAGUAAUUCAUUAUCUCGCUAGGGAGGUUGCGGCGUGCUCCUGCCGUUAAAGACCCAUCUUUAACCAAGGUUGACCUCGGAUCAGGUAGGAAUACCCGCUGAACUUAAGCAUAUCAAUAAGCGGAGGAAAAGAAACCAACAGGGAUUGCCCUAGUAACGGCGAGUGAAGCGGCAACAGCUCAAAUUUGAAAUCUGGCUUCGGCCCGAGUUGUAAUUUGUAGAGGAUGCUUUUGGUGAGGUGCCUUCUGAGUUCCCUGGAACGGGACGCCAGAGAGGGUGAGAGCCCCGUAUAGUCGGCCACCGAUCCUUUGUAAAGCUCCUUCGACGAGUCGAGUAGUUUGGGAAUGCUGCUCAAAAUGGGAGGUAUAUCUCUUCUAAAGCUAAAUAUAGGCCAGAGACCGAUAGCGCACAAGUAGAGUGAUCGAAAGAUGAAAAGCACUUUGAAAAGAGGGUUAAAUAGCACGUGAAAUUGUUGAAAGGGAAGCGCUUGUGACCAGACUUGUGCCGGGCUGAUCAUCCAGUGUUCUCACUGGUGCACUCGACCCGGCUCAGGCCAGCGUCGGUUUUCGUGGGGGGAUAAAAGCUUCGGGAACGUGGCACCUUCGGGUGUGUUAUAGCCCGUUGCUUAAUACCUCCGUGGAGACCGA
rnacentral:rRNA from 1 species